CUCAUGUCAGAGACAGUCCCUGUUCCCAAUACGAGGGACUCUUCAGCCCUGAGUUUGAUUAUUUCCAGCUGUCUACUCCUCUUGGAUAAGGAAGUCACCUUCCACAUCAGCCACUGGGAGACAGAGGCGGGGAAAACUCUGGAAGUUCCUGGAUGGUAACCGGCCACCAGCCUUCACCGCCAACUCAGUGGAGUUAGGGGCAGUGGAGGUCAAAGUCUCCAAUCAUCAGAGAGAGAAACGAUCUCUGCUCACUUCAGUCCUGGAGACGUGGCUAACCUGACAGCUGACAUGCAGUUCACACAUGCUCAGCAUUACCACCCAUGACCCAAGUUCUGCUGAUCUUCCUUCCAAGGCUCAGCUUCUGCACUGCACUUGUGUCUGCAGAGCUGCCUGCAGCUUCCCCUGUGAAGAAGGAAUUGCAGCAGAGUCAAGCUGUGUGUUUAGUAGGACUGCUAUUCCUAAGCAAAGGCCAAGAAGCCCUUUUGGAAAGACAGGAAGCCUGAGAGUGCUCUCUUUAAAAGAUUGGCACCAAUAUUUCUGUACAUAAGUCUUGCUUGAUGCCCUGGCUACCCUGGAAUGUUGUGUAGACAAUUAUAAACCUCACACUCAGAAAUCCACUAGAAAUGACUGCCAGAGUUCUGGGACUGAGACAGAAACCAUGUGCUGCAGGCCCCAGCACCCCGAGACUCCCUCAUCGCGUCUUUUUAGCACUCAAGAAGUAAAAAGGCAUGGAAUGACAUAUAAAGUUUCACGUCAAUGAUGUCCAGGUAACUAACCUGUCACACAAAGUGGAAUUUCCCAUCUGUUGCUUUUUCCUGCUUUGUCUCCCAUAUCCUCCCACUCCUUACCUUGUACUUUUCAGCAGCCUCUUCAAUGAGAACUGUGUGGUGACCACGGUGAUCCUGAGAUCUCUCACAAAGCCAGCAGAUGGCUGUCAUGUCAUUCUCACAGAAGAGCUGGAGCUUCUCUCCAUGUUGUUCACAGACAUUCACCGUCUGCUCCUCCUCAGGAAUAGAUUUAAACCCUUUGAGACUCUCCACUAUAUUGGCUGCAUGUCGAUUGGGCCUCAGAUUCCCAAACAGGUUCCUUCAGGAGCUCCAGACAGAUGGAACAGGUCACCUCCUCCUUUAUCUUCGCCAGGACUGAUGAGGCCAUAGUUGCUGUGAUCCUGCUUCUGCCUGUCCUGAUUUCUCACACUUCUGCACGUCUGCCUGCAUGAUUAAGAAGAUAAAAUGGGGCCAAGUAAGGAAAUGGAGGAUCAGAAUGAACACCGUGCAGAGAUCAAGGAAGAAACACAAUGAUACAGUAAAAGAACAAAGGAAGAAAUAUGGAAAGAGAGAGGUUUAGUGACAGCAAAAUAGCACUUUGUCUUUCCUUCAAGUACUCUACUCUUAGUUCAUUCCAAAUGACAAAUUUCAGACACAAGAUAGCUCUUCUCCUUUUAUGGAAGAGCAGAAAUAAAGUGUUUCCUUUCAACAGCCUUGAAACAGGCUUGUGUAAACCAUCCUUACCUUUCUUUCCCAGGCCACCAUCGUCACCAAACUACUCAUGCUUCUGGCACUCUACUUCCUGUUUUAUCAGCAGUAGUCAGUGUGACACGCUCUGAUCCUCCCCUUACAACUUCCUUACCAGAAAGAGCUGGUGCUGACCUGGGGUAUAAACAGUCCCUUCUCCUGAUGCACACAUGCAUUGACUUUUCUGACUGAC